GACCAAGUGUGGUGCAGUGUUUGAGUACUGGAUUGUGACUCUGGAGACCAGGGUUCGAAUCCCUGCUUGGCUA